AUCUGAAACCAAACCUUAGAAAAAUUCAGUUUGUAAAAUUCCCUGCAUACCCUGACAGACUCGGGACACAUUUCUGAAUCUGCUUGCCUUACCUGUCUGUAUCAAAUUCUUCAGGGUAUAGCUCUUUAUAACCACUGUGACCCCAUCUGUAAGAAGCAGA